UUGGUGUUGUAUUUAUUCCACAUCUGCUGCGUUUGAAUUAAAAUUCAAAUAAUCAGAGGAAAUCGUGAACAUCAUGAGGCUACUUAUCGAAACCGAAUCCGAGGAGACCAGUAGCGGAUGCAAAUCAAGUUCGGAUGAUACCGAUUCCGAUGAUCCAAAGUAUAAAAUCGUCAUAAACAUUAAGGAGGAAGGCAGUAGCAGUUCUAAAUCAAGCUGUCAGGACACCGAGGCGCCAUGUAAUGAUGGAUGUCCGGAUUGCUCUGUAACGAAACGACCAAACAAUGCGAAUGUAAAUUCGAUGGCGAGUUCCCCCAAUUGCUGUAUGAACACUUAGAACGUUGUUUACCUGGUCAUAUUGAGUAAAUUUACUCAAUAAAAGCUUAUGAAAUGAACCUUUAUUUAUAUCAGCAUUAUAAAGAUAAAGCUUUCACGCGCAGAGUAUUAUGUACUUGUGUUUAUUUGUAAAAACGCCAUAUAAGUUUACUAUGUGUGACAUGUCCAUAUGUUUAAUUUUAAAACAAAUCAUUAGAAAAUAACAAAAUAAUUAGAACACAUUAAUUUAACCUCAUCAUCCAGUGCUCUGCAAGAAACCCUGAAACAAUCGACAUGUCUUCUCUCUAUUAGAGAAGCGUUUAAAUAUUUAAAAGUUGGGAAUCUAUUCACUUAAAUUCAUUACAUAGCUUUGUCGGGAUAAGUUUGUCUUGCGCGGUGUAAUGGCUUAAAGGGACCUUGUCAAAGAUUUUGGCAUGUAUUGAAGUUUGUCAUUAAUUACUUUAUAUUGAUCAAUGUAAACAUUGGAUCUAAAAAGCUCCAGUAAAAAACUAGAAUGAAAUUUAUUUGUGCAUACUUCAGAGCAUAUAAAAAUAAAAAACAGACCGAACCCAUGUAGAAAUAAUGACUGUAUAUACCAACAAUACCACAUUAUUAAAAUGUGUAAAAGAUAAAACAGUUAAUUCUAUAAAAAAAAAUAACAAUACCAAUUUAUUUACAAUUGGUACUUUAUACAGUUGUAAAAUAUUUGCCCUUUCAAGAUUAAGAGUAUCUCCAAGCUGAAAUUCGUCGAGCGCAUAAACCAAAGGCAACACCUUUCGAAGAAAAGAAACUUACCGUGUCUUAUGUUCUCGAAGAUGAACAUCAUUUUACUCUUGAAUGUAUACUGUAUCGUGAUGUUAGAUAGAGUUACAUAUGUCAAGUUUACAAUGGCUUACAUCAUAUGAUUAACGUUGUCGAAUUGUAUACCUCCCAAAAUAGUAUAGUGAAUAUAAAGUUUGUAAUAUUUAUUCAAUAAUAAUUGGAAAUAAGAAUUAUACCUAUCAUAACUAUCUCAUGGUUAUAUUUGAACGCGUACAUAUCUUGCUUACGUCGGGCUUUUCUGGAAAACUUCAUUAUAUUAUUUGAUUUGGUGAGUAUAUAUUGAUUUAAUUUUGUUUAGUUUGUGUUUGAUAUGAUAUAUGAUAUUUAUAUGAAAUAAA